GUAACUCGUAAACUGAAGACUAUAUCUGCAGUCUAAUGCUGACCAUCGAAGGGCCUAGCCGCUUAAGUCGGGAAUCGGCAGGAAAGAUGAGCUAGUCGAAUUCCUCAGUCUGGAAACAACCGUUCAGUAGAGCAGACGUAUGAGAAUCGCGCUCCGCAAAUUUCGAGUACCUGGUUGUCUAUCUCCUGGAUCCUACGUUCCGGGGCCACUUUCUAGUGAAACUUGACUUCCAGGGCAAGCGCUUCGUGGUUCCUGCGCUCGAAGUCCGCUACCUGGUGGACAAGGAUUUCUGCACGUAUUCGAAGUAUAACCCAAGGUGGUUAUCAGUGGUUGUUGGUGGUGGUUGAAGGUGGUUGGAGGUGGUCGUAGGUGGACGAGGAGGA
rnacentral:lncRNA from 1 species